UGGUACCCUGACAAAUCCUGCCACAAACAUUGGGACCUAAAGCGGUUAUCAGUGACAAGUGCAGGUAAAUUAGUCAGAACACUCGGUUAUCUGCUACCUGCUGUUAUUUCUAAGCGCCACAUUCGUUUCAGGUGCUCCUACCUUUCUAUGUUGCGCCAAAAAAUCGUGGAUCUCAUCAGAAUUAAUCUUUUCCCACUCUCUGCUUCGUUAUUUCUUUCUCUUUCUAGUUCGAUUUCCAUUGUGCUUUCAGGAUGGAAUCACUAAAUAAUGAGACUAAAUCGAUUUCUAGACUCUUUAUUUCCCACCUGCGGCAGCUCUUCCUUCACAUUUUUAAAUCUUGGAUGUAAAAUUUGGGUCAACCUGUGAUCCUAAAGAGUAUUAUUACUUUGGCAGGUAGAAUUAACCAUCUGAGUGAUGAUGGGUCUUGCACCAACAGUGCUUGCCAGCGUUCCGCUCCAGGAAAAAAUCCGAGGUCAGAACUGACAAAUGUUGAGAAGGAUGAUCCUGAUGCGAAAAUGCAACGGACCUGCAUCAAACUGGUAAUGCUUGGUACACAUUCUCACGUUUUGCAGUAUAAUGUGACAUACAUUCAUUUUGACCGAGACUUGUGCGAACUUUAAUAUAUGGACACUUGACUGAAGAACUUAAGUUAUCGUCAGCCUUCUCAAGUUGCACUCUCACAACUCUUGUACUGCACAAACAAGCCGGUCCAUUGUAUGAAAUGAUAUUAGCUUUCAACUUUCAAGCUUGGUAGGGUACUGCUUUUUUUCCUGGAGAAAAUGCAGCUAGAAGGUUUUUUCAGUAGUAAAUUUUGGACUGAAUAAAGAGUAGAGCUUCCAUACUAUCACGAGUACUUAGCUUGCAAGCUUUGUAGGGUAAUGCUUUUGCAGAAGGCCUAUCUUGCUUAUUACAUAUCUUUACAGAAGCAAAACUCAAGACAUUUUCUCUCUCUGUAGGAUAAGAUAAUGCAUGAAAACUUAGGUUACUAAUCUUUUCAUGGUCUUUUUUGGGCUGAGUAAAAGUACCACAGUUUCUUUCUGCUGGAUUCACACAUCUCGUAACCAGUAAGCAGCUUCUGUCUUUUGGACACUUCUAUUCUAACUGGUGAAAUCAAUACUUGGUGGAGUGCAGGCUGAAGCUGGAUUUUGCACGGUGAACUAGACGGGCUAAUCGUGUGGUGGCAGUGUCCUUACUUCUGGUGCUCCUGUCUACGUGUAGAGACAUGUCCAUUAGCUUCCGAAUGCUGUUGGAGAACACUAUUAGGUUGUUUUGCUACUAUUUGCACUAUGUUAAAUUAAUUAACUCGAGUCUUGCAAGUCUCAUAGCCAGAGCAUCUAUUCUGUGUAAGCUCCCGCGUGAAUUGUGUCGGAUUGGUUAGCUUUUCAUGUGUGACCUUAUCAGUUACAGUAUCCGCUAGUUCUAAAUUCUGCCUGUCAGACGGUACUGUUGCUGUCCCCUUUGCUGAAAUCAAUUGAAGAUAAGGUGUCUUGAUACUUCAUCAGAAAGAAAAAGUGAUUUGGCAAAUACGUACUUUACUGAGGGGGCAUUGCUAUUUCUUAGUACAAAAAGACUUGUCUGAAUGUCCAGUUGAUAGAUGUGACUGAAUUCGUACUUUACUGGGGGCACGCAAGAUGGUGCAUUCAUCUUGAUCAUAUUGGAACACAGGAACACAGAGAUUCCAUGCAGGAACGAGAGAAAGCAUAGGAAACACACAUCCGUAUGUUUGUAUACGAAACUGACGGGUCUGUCAAUAUGAUCAAGACGGGCCCUGUCACGGUGAAGGAAUAUCCAGGAAAAUCCCCGUUCGGUUUGUGGGAUACGAAACACAGGAACGAGAGAAAACAUAGGAACCGAGAAGGAUUGUAUUGAAGUGAUGGGACAAAAAACAUAGGAAAGUUGUCAAAAUGGGCGUUCAAGUGGCCAUAGAAAAGCACCGCGUUAACGAAAAAGGAUUUCCCCCGCUUUGUAUUACAAAGCAACCAACCAGAACAUCCGAUGAUAGAUGCUGGAACAGAAACAACCCAGUCACGCUCAAAAGAAAUGAUUUUUUUUUACAAAAGAAACAAAUGCCGACACCGGCGGAUCGACAAAAGACACAAAAGUCUCGCGAACGCUGCGCCAACCAAGAGUCUUCCACCAAGCUCGAGGACUCCGAAGCACCUGUGCCCAUCAACACCUCCAAAAAGGAAUGCGACGAUGACGACGCUACUGCCAAGGGUUUCCUCCGGUACGUGACGAGGCGCGAGGAAGGGUAGCCCCGACACCCUCCAAGAAGGUUCGGCGACACCCAAAGGCGUCACCGAUAGGGGUUUCCCCCGAUCCCAACCUACACCUCGGGCGCUUCGGAACCUGCCACCAAACCGAACUACACCCUGCACCAACACAGUCUUGAGGUCCCUGUGCCGUCUCACCACGAUACCGUAAGGAGAAGCCUGCACAACGAUGAAGAGGAGCCGGGACUAGGAGCAGCAUCACCGUCGGCACGCGGGAGGGCUCAACCUCCACCGUCAACGACGGUAGCCGACCGGACGCAAUAGCAGGAGCAUACCAGGCCCGUGGGCCCACAGGCCCGGCCGGGACCCCCCGUAAAGCUCCCGCCAUCAUGCUGCAACAGGCGCGCCGUCGAUGACGCCUCCCCCAGUCCAAGCUGCUGCUCCUCCCGACCAUGCAGAAGACACCGCAGCCACGCUGGGAGCCGGCCCGCUAGGACCCAGAUGGGCCUCGCAGGGCCUAGAUCUGGGCCGGGGGCGCGCAGCCAGCCACCCCGCACCACCACGCCCCUACCGCCACCUCUCCCGUUGUCGGCCACCACCACCGGAUCACCGGACCGCAACCGACCGAGCUGCACCACCGCCGUCCCGUGCCCCGGGAAGCGGUAACGCGCGCGCGGGGAAAGGAGGGCCCGCCGCCUCCGGCACCACCCGGGCUAGCGCCGGUGGUGCCUGCNNNNNNNNNNGGCGGCGCGCGCGGGGUUGGUGCCUGCCGGUGGCGGCAGUGAGGAGACGAAGGGGAAAGAGCCCGCGGGAAAGGAUCUCGCGUUCCGCCCCGGCCAUCUCCCAGGGAGGCGGCGCGAGGGCGGAUCUGGGAGGAGGGGGAGGGAGGACGUGGACGGGGAGGGGGAGUCUAACGAGAAAUCGGUACGUUGAAAGGAGACUAUUCUUGACUUGAUACUCCCGACAACAACGCCAAAAAUCCCCGGCGGCCUCUUGAGCUUGCGUUGGUUUUUCUCUUGAAGAGGAAAGGGUGAUGCAGCACAGGAGCAGUAAGUAUUUCCCUCAGUUGAGAACCAAGGUAUCAAUCCAGUAGGAGAAUCAAGCAAAGUUUCCAGAGUACCUGUGCAAACACAAACGAGCUUGCAGCCAACACUAUAAAUGGGUUGUCAAUCCCUUCAAGAUUGAUUGCAAAGUGAGAUCUGAAGGCGGAAAGUGCAACGAAGUAAAAGUGUAAGGCUGAAAAUAUGAAGUGAAGUAGACCCGGGGGGCCAUAGUGUUCACUAGAGGCUUCUCUCAAAAUAGCAAAUAUUANNNNNNNNNNNNNNNNNNNNNNNNNNNNNNNNNNNNNNNNNNNNNNNNNNNNNNNNNNNNNNNNNNNNNNNNNNNNNNNNNNNNNNNNNNNNNNNNNNNNNNNNNNNNNNNNNNNNNNNNNNNNNNNNNNNNNNNNNNNNNNNNNNNNNNNNNNNNNNNNNNNNNNNNNUCUGCAUCUACUACUAUUACUCCACACAUCGACCGCUAUCCAGCAUGCAUCUAGUGUAUUGAGUUCAUGACAAACAGAGUAACGCCUUAAACAAGAUGACAUGAUGUAGAGGGAUAAACCCAAACCAAUGAUGAAAACCCCAUCUUUUUACCCUUGAUGGCAAUAACAUGAUGCGUGCCUCGCUACCCCUUCUGUCACUGGUGAGGUCACCGCACGGUAUGAACCCAAAACCAAGCACUUCUCCCAUUGCAAGAAUCAUAGAUCAAGUUGGCCAAACAAAACCCACAACUCGAAGAGAAUUACAAGGAUAUGAAAUCAUGCAUAUAAGAGAUCAGAAGAAACUCAAAUAAGAUUCAUAGAUAAUUUGAUCAUAAAUCCACAAUUCAUCGGAUCUCGACAAACACACCGCAAAAGAAGAUUACAUCGGAUCGAUCUCCAUGAAGAUCAUGGAGAACUUUGUAUUGAAGAUCCAAGAGAGAGAAGAAGCCAUCUAGCUACUAGCUAUGGACCCGUAGGUCUAUGGUGAACUACCCACGCAUCAUCGGAGAAGUCAUGGUGUUGAUGAAGAAGCCCUCCGUAUCCGAAUCGCCCCUCCGACAGGGCACCAGAACGUGCCCCAGAUGGGAUCUUGCGGAGACAGAAGCUUGCGGCGGCGGAAAAGUAUUUUCGUGGAUCUCUCCCAUGGUUUCAGAUUUUUAGGGAAUUUACAGGAGGAAGAAGUAGGGCAGGGGAGCCACGGGGAGCUCACAAGCCUGUUAGGCCCGCCCCCUAGACCGGGCCUGGUGGGCUUGUGACCUCCUCCGAGGUCACCUGCCUUGGUUCUCAAGUCUCGUGCGUGUCUUCUGUUAUGGAAAAAAAUCAUUCCGCAGGUUUUAUUCCGUUUGGACUCCGUUCAAAAUUCUCCUAUGAAAAGGGUCAAAAACACGGAAAAAAUAGGAACUGGCACUGGGCACUGAGUUAAUAGGUUAGUCCCAAAAAAGAUAUAAAAGGCAUACAAAACAUCCAAAGUUUGACAAGAUAAUAGCAUGGAUCCAUAAAAAAUUAUAGAUACGUUGGAGACGUAUCAAGCAUCCCCAAGCUUAACUCUUGCUCGUCCUCGAGUAGGGAAGUGAUAAAGACUGAAUUUUUGAUGUGGAAUGCUACUUAGCACAGUUGUCCUUUGUAACUUCUUUCAUGUGACAUGAAUGUUCAGAUCCGUAAGAUUCAAAACAAUAGUUUGCUAUUGACAUGAAAACAAUAAUACUUCAAGCAAACUAGCAAGGUAAUCAUGAACUUUCGAAAUAACAAGGCCAAAGAAAGUUAUCCCUACAAAAUCAUAUAGUCUGGCUAUGCUCCAUCAUCCCCACACAACUAAUUUAAAUCAUGCACAACCCCGGUAUUGGCCAAGUAAUUAUUUUCACACUCUUACUUUCUCAAACCUUUUUCAACUCUCACGCAAUACAUGAGCGUGAGCCAUGGAUAUAGCACUAUGGUGGAAUAGAGUGUGGUGGAGGUUGUGAGACAAAAAGGAGGAGAUGGUCACAUUGACUCGGCGUAUCAAAGGACUAUGGAGAUGCCCAUUAAUAGAUAUCAAUGUGCAUGAGUAGGGAUUGCCAUACAACGGAUGCACUAGAGCUAUAAGUAUGUGAAAGCUCAAAAGUAGUACUAGUGAGUGUGCAUCCAACAUGCUUGCUCACGAAGACCUAGGGAAAUUUUGAGGAAGCCCAUCAUUGGAAUAUACAAGCCAAGUUAUAUAAUAAAGAUUCCCACUAGUAUAUGGUGUGACAAAACGAGAGGCUCUCAAUCAUGAAGAACAUGGUGCUAAUAUGAAGCACAAGUGUGGAAAGAGAUAGUAGCAUUGUCCCUUCUCUCUUUUUCUCUUUUUUUUUGUUUGGGCUCUUUGGCCUCUCUUUGUUUCUUUCUUUCCUCCCUUUUUUUGUGUGUGGAACUUUGGCCUCUUUUUUAUUUAUUUCCUCACAUGGGACAAUGCUCUAAUAAUGAUGAUCAUCACACUUUUAUUUACUCACAACUCAAAGCUUAGAACGACGAUGACUCUAUAGGAAAUGCCUCCAACAGUGUACCGGGAUGUGCAACGAUCUAGCUUGGCGUAUGACGUUGAAACAUAUCGCUAGCUAUCUUACGAUCAUGCAAUGGCAAUAUGAGAGUGACGGCACAAGUCAUGAGACAGAAUUGUGGGAGUUGCAUGGCACUAUAUCUCGGAAUGGCUAUGAAAAUGCCAUAGUAGGUAGGUAUGGUGGCUGUUUUGAGGAAGGCAUAUGGUGGGUUUCUGCACCGGCGAAAAUUGUGCGGUACUAGAGAGGCUAGCAAUGGUGGAAGGUGAAAGUGCAUCUAUACCAUGGACUCGCAUUAGUCAUGAAGAAUUCACAUACUUAUUGCGAAAGUUUUUAUUAGUAAUCGAAACAAAAGUGUUAAACGCAUACUCCUAGGGGAAGGGUUGGUAGGUGUUAACCAUCGCGCGAUCCCGACCGCAACACAAAGGAUGACAAUCAAUAGAUCAAUUAUGCUCCAACUUCCUAACAUAGCGGUUCACCAUACGUACAUGUUACGGGAAUCACUAACUUCAACACAAGUAUUUCUAGAUUCACAACACCCUACUAACAUAACUCUUAAUAUUACCAAAUCCAUGUCUCAAAACUAAUUGAGAGGAAUCAAACUUCUCUUCUACUCAAUGCACAUGAAGAUGGAAGUUUUAUUGUAUCCUCUUUGGAUACCUAUCACCUUUGGGACUACUUUCAUAGCACAAGCGAACUACCAAGUUACGCACCGUCGUGCUCUAAAAAGUCUAAGUGAAGCACAAAGAGAAACAUUGCCUAGCUCAAAAGAUAUAAGUGAAGCACAAUGAGUAUUCUAGCAAAUUCAUGAUGAGUGCGUGUCUCUCUCAAAAGGUGUGCAGCAAGGAUGAUUGUGACACAACAAAAAUAAAAGACUCCUAAGAUACAAGACGCUCCAAGCAAAACACAUAUCAUGUGGUGAAUAAAAAUAUAGCUCCAAGUAAUGUUACCGAUGGAUUGAAGACGAAAGAGGGGAUGCCUUCCUGGGGCAUCCCCAAGCUUAGGCUUUUUGGUGUCCUUGAAUUUGGAUUGGGAUGCCUUGGGCAUACCCAAGCUUGAUCUCUUUCCACUCUUUAUCCCUUUGUCCAUGAGAACAUCACCCAAAACUUGAAAACUUCAUAACACAAAACUUAAACAGAAACUCGUGAUAUCAUUAGCACAAGAAAACAAACUACCACCUCUUUAGGUACUGUAGAAAUCUUGUUUCUAUUUAUAUUGGUGUUAGGUUACUGUAUUCUCACUUUUCCAUGGCUAGUAUCCACCGAUACUAUCCAUAGUUUCAUCAAAACAAGCAACCAACACAACAAAAACAGAAUCUGUCAAAAACAGACCAGUCUGUAGCAAUCUGUAUACUUUUGGUACCUCAAAAAUUCUGAAAAAUUACGAAAGCCUGGGAAAGAGGCAUAUAAACUAGCAGAAAAAAGAAUUAACUCAAAAGCUGUUUCUGAAUAAAAAUGAAAAAUAAUUUCGUGAGCGAAAAGUUUCUGUCUUUUUCCAGCAGGAUCAAACAACCAACACCAAACUAGUCAUAAAGGUUUUGCUUGGCUCAAACACAAAAAGAAACACAAAAAACACAAUCAUAACAGAAUUAUGAUGGUGUGGACGCAACAAAACAGAAAGAAAAAGAUAAAUUCAUUGGGUUGCCUCCCAACAAGCGCUAUUGUUUAACGCCCUUAGCUAGGCAUAAGGUGAUAGAAUCACGUAUCGUCGUCUUUGGUACUCAAACCAUAAGUAGCCCUCAUCAUGGAUUCAUAAGGCAAUAUUAUUUUAUUUCUAGGAAAAUGCUCCAUUCCCUUAUUUAAAGGAAAUUGAAAUCUAAUAUUUCCUUCCUUCAUAUCGAUGAUAGCACCAAUAGUCCUUAGGAAAGGUCUACCAAGAAUGAUAGGGCAUGUAGGAUUGCAAUCAAUGUCAAGCACAAUGAAAUCCACGGGUACAUAGUUCCUAUUUGCAAUAAUAAGAACAUCAUUGAUCCUUCCCAUGGAUUAUUGAUAGUAGAAUCCGCAAGAUGCAAAUUAAUAUAACACUCCUCAAUCUCAUUAAAGCCUGGAACAUCACAUAAAGACUUUGGAAUCGCGGAAACACUAGCACCCAAAUCACACAAAGCAUUGCAUUCAUAGUUUUUGAUUUUGAUUUUGAUAUUAGGUUCCCACUCAUUAUGAAGCUUUAUAUAUAGGAAUAGAAACUUCGAACUCAAGUUUCUCUUCAAGAGAUUUUAUCAUAGCAUCGACGAUAUGAUCGGUAAAUGCCUUGUUUUAGCUAUAAGAGUGUGGAGAGUUUAGCAUGGAUUGCAUCAAGGAAAUACAUUCAAUCAAAGAGCAACUAUCAUAAUUGGAUUCCUUGAAUUCCAAAGUAGUAGUUUCAUUACUACUCAAAGUUUUUAUAUCUUCUACUCCACUUUCAAUGCUUUUAGCAUCAAGAUAGAUGGACUCUGAAUCAUUGGGGCGUUUUUCAACCAAAGUGGAUUCAUAUCCAGGCCCAUCAUCAUUAGGUUUGGUACCAGAAAACAAGGAUUCAAUGGGAGUCACACCAAGCACUUUAAGAUCUUCGUGAUUCUUAUCACGAGAACACGCCUUUUUAAGCCAUUCAUGUCUAGCAUGAAAUUGGGCGGUUCUUUCUUUUCUCUCGUUCAUGGAAACACGCAUAGCUUUCAAAGUUUCAUCAAUAUUGAUCUUGGGAGGAGCACAUCUAACUUUCAAAGCAUCAAUAUCAAUAGACAUUCUAUCAACGCUCCUAGCCAAAUCAUCAAUUUUGAGUAGUUUUUCCUCUAUGGACGCAUUGAAGAUCUUUUGCGAGUUGAUAAACUCUUUGAUAUUACUCUCUAGAUCAGAGGGUAAUUUAUUGUAAUUUCCAUGAGUAUUGUUGUAGGAGUUUCCAAAGUUAUUAGAGGGGUUACUAGGAAAAGGCCUAGGAACAUAGUUUCCUCUAAAAGCAUUGUUGUUGCCAAAAUUAUUCCUACCAACAAAAUUAACGUCCAAGCUCGCAUUGCUACUCUCAAUCAAGGUAGACAAGGGCACAUCCUUAGGAUCUAAAGGAGCACUUCUACUAGCAAUCAAAUUCAUUAACUCGUCCAUCUUAGCACUCAACGAGUUAAUUUCUUCUAUAGCGUGUACCUUUUUACUAGUAGGUGACCUUUCAGUGUGCCACUGAGAGUAGUUUGUCAUGAUAUUGUCUAGCAGUUUUGUGGCUUCUCCUAAUGUGAUUUCCAUGAACGUUCCACCUAAGGCGGAGUCCAAGAUAUUUCUAGAAGCGAAAUUCAAGCCAGCGUAAAAUAUUUGUAUAAUCAUCCAAAGACUCAAGCCAUGAGCGGGACAAUUUCUAAUCAUCAAUUUCAUUCUCUCCCAAGAUUGUGCAACAUGUUCAUGAUCAAGUUGCUUAAAAUUCAUGAUAUCAUUACGGAGAGAGAUAAUUUUAGCCGACAGAAAAUACUUGGAUAUAUAAGCAUCUUUGCACUUGUUCCAAGAAUCAAUACUAUUUUUUGGCAAAGAUGAAAACCAAGUUUUUGCUCGAUCUCGCAACGAGAAAGGAAAAAGCUUCAAUUUAAUCACAUCAUUAUCCACAUCUUUCUUCUUUUGCAUAUCGCAAAGCUCAAUGAAGGUAUUAAGAUGGGAUGCUGCAUCUUCACUUGGAAGGCCGGAGAAUUGCUCUUUCAUAACAAGAUUCAGCAAAGCAGCAUUGAUUUCGUAUGAUUCUGCACUAGUGGCGGGUGCGAUCGGAGUACUAAUAAAAUCAAUAUUAUUAGUAUUUGAGAAGUCACAAAGUUUGGUGUUUUCAGUCAUGGUGACUUCAGCAAGCACACAAGCACACAAGCGAACAGAAAGCAAGCGAGAGAAAAGGGCGAACGAAAAAGGCAAACAAAAAAGGCAAAUAUUUUUGUAAUUUUUUUUCAGAAGUGGGGGAGAGGAAAACGAGAGGCAAAAAAGUAAAUGCAAGAGAUGAGUUUGCGACACUUACUUGGAUGAGCUUCACCUAGAACUUGAUCCUCCCCGACAACGGUGCCAGAAAUAGGCACGUUGACGGGAGACUAUUCUUGACUUGAUACUCCCCGACAACGACGCCAAAAAUCCCCGGCGGCCUCUUGAGCUUGCGUUGGUUUUUCCCUUGAAGAGGAAAGGGUGAUGCGGCACAGGAGCAGUAAGUAUUUCCCUCAGUUGAGUACCAAGGUAUCAAUCCAGUAGGAGAAUCAAGCCAAGUGGCCAGAGUAUCUGUGCAAACACAAACGAGCUUGCACCCAGAGCUAUAAAGGGGUUGUCAAUCCCUUCAAGAUUGAUUGCAAAGUGAGAUCUGAAGGCGGAAAGUGCAACGAAGUAAAAGUGUAAGGCUGAAAAUAUGAAGUGAAGUAGACCCGGGGCCAUAGUGUUCACUAGAGGCUUCUCUCAAAAUAGCAAAUAUUACGGUGGGUGAACAAAUUACUGUCGAGCAAUUGAUAGAACCGCGCAAAGUCAUGACGAUAUCUAAGGCAAUGAUCAUACAUAUAGGCAUCACGUCCGAGACAUGUAGACCGAUAUUUUCUGCAUCUACUACUAUUACUCCACACGUCGACCGCUAUCCAGCAUGCAUCUAGUGUAUUGAGUUCAUGACGAACAGAGUAACACCUUAAGUAAGAUGACAUGAUGUAGAGGGAUAAACUCAAACCAAUGAUGAAAACCCCAUCUGUUUACCCUUGAUGGCAACAACACGAUGCGUGCCUCACUACCCCUUCUGUCACUGGGUGAGGUCACCGCACGGUAUGAACCCAAAACCAAGCACUUCUCCCAUUGCAAGAAUCAUAGAUCAAGUUGGCCAAACAAAACCCACAACUCGAAGAGAAUUACAAGGAUAUGAAAUCAUGCAUAUAAGAGAUCAUAAGAAACUCAAAUAAGAUUCAUAGAUAAUUUGAUCAUAAAUCCACAAUUCAUCGGAUCUCGACAAACACACCGCAAAAGAAGAUUACAUCGGAUCGAUCUCCAUGAAGAUCAUGGAGAACUUUGUAUUGAAGAUCCAAGAGAGAGAAGAAGCCAUCUAGCUACUAGCUAUGGACCCGUAGGCACUGGGAACUGAGUUAAUAGGUUAGUCCCAAAAAAGAUAUAAAAGACAUACAAAACAUCCAAAGUUUGACAAGAUAAUAGCAUGGAACCAUCAAAAAUUAUAGAUACAUUGGAGACGUAUCAGACCCGCACGAUCUAUCUGGAUCUGGCGGCCCCUGCGCUCCCGUCGGCCGCAUCGCCGGUGCCGGCCCCUGUCGACCGCCCGCAUCGUCGGUGCCCGCCACCGUCGGCCGCCCGCUCCGCCGGUUCCAGCCGCCACCUAUCGCCCUCGUCUCCUACUGCCAUGGCAGGGCUCGCGCGUAUACAAGUGUUGCAACCGUCAUCUAAAAAUGCUUCAAACAUUGUUCAAAAAAGCUUCAACCAUAGACAAACAAAGCUUCAAUCGGCUCUGCCCAGCAAGGAAAGCUGCAAUCGUAGUUGCAUUUUUCUACUACCGGCUAACUUUUUUGCUGCAUCCAUCAAGGUGGACCUGCGAUCUAGCGACGGCUGCGAUGAAUUUUUACUGCAACCGUAGUUGCAUUUUGCUAUUAUGAACUUUUUUGCUACAUCCAUCAAGACGGUGUUGCGACCUCGCGACGACGAUGAUGACGAUGAUUUUGCUGCAACCAGGUUUUUGCUGCAUCAGUGACCGAAAUUUGCUACAUCGCUGCUUAUUUUUGCUACAAUCGAUGAUUUUUGCUGCAUGGCUCGAUCUAACGAUCAACAGGGUUCGAUCUGACGACUCGUGCGUGACCGGCCGGAAGUUUAGUCGGCGCGCCGGCGCAGAUCAGUGCCCAUAAGUAAGGCACCUCUACCUCCAACUCUCUCACCUCACCACCUUAUACAUCUGUUUUUAACCCUGCUGAUUCUAACAAUGACUAUCAGAGGGCCUCGCCUUGGUCUCCUGCUAGAAACAUGAGCUCUACGGUAGAUGUUAGAAUUCCUAUGGAAUCCGCAAUGAUGGUGCCAAUUUCCUCUGGAUUAUGGUUGGUGGGGAUACGACAGACAAGCCUGUUGCGCGUGCUCCGCCACAUGGGCUUUGGUGGUCGGUUUGUCAAGUGGAUAUGCAUCCUGCUCUCCUCCACCAGCUCACGGAUCCUUCUCAAUGGCAUUCUCAGUUUUCCCGUUCUUGCAAAAGAGAGGCAUGCUACAGGUAGAGGGGAACCAACUAUUAUUCCUGAUCGCCAUGGAGAUCUUGAAUGUCAUGCUAUGGAAGGCUGAGGUUGUGGGCAUGUUGUCGGUGCUGCCUUGCCACGACGUUCGCUUCCGCACAUCCAUGUACGCUGACUACAUAGCCAUCUUCCUCAAACCGCUCCCGCAAGAUCUUGCGACUGUCCGUGCCUCUUUGGAGUGCUUCGGGGGCGCCUACGGGCUCAGCACCAACCUCAAGAAGUGCUCCCUUUCACUGAUCAGAUGCACCGACACACACAUCACUCGGUCGCCCAGCAAUUCCCUUGUGCAAUUGCAAACUUCCCCUGCACCUACCUCGGGCCACCGUUAUCUUACAAACGUGUGCCCCGCGCCCACCUGCAGCCCAUCAUCGACAAGGUCCUCGAGCGUCUACAGCCUUGGAUCGCUGGCAUGCUCACUUCGGUCGGCCAUCUUUUGCUAAUCCGGACAACCCUCUCCUCUAUACCGAUAUACCACUUCAUCGCCAUGCAACUGCCUAACUGGCUCAUUGAUGACCCACAAUUAUAGGGGAUCAAUCGUAGUAUUUUCAAUAAGUAAGAGUGUCGAACCCAACGAGGAGCAGAAUGAAAUGAUAAGCGGUUUUCAGCAAGGUAUUAUCUGCAAGUGUUGUGAGUAACAGUGAUAGAUAGUUUUUGUAGCAAGAUAAUUGAUAACAAGUAACAUAUAAUAAUAAUAGCAAGUGUGCAUCAAGGUGGCCUAAUCCUUUUUGUAGCAAAAGACAAGGCUCAAAGCUCUCUUAUAUAAAGUAAAUGCUCUUUAGGAUACAUGAGAAUUUUCAUCUAGUCAUGUUCAUCAUGUUGAGUUGAUUCGCGAUCGUUACUUUGAUAAUUUGAUAUGUGUGUGGAUCGAUGCUUAGAUGUUGUUCUUACUUACAAGCGACCUACUUAUGAUUACCCCCUCUCGCAAGCAUCCGCAACUACGAAAGAAGAAUUAAGAUAAAUCUAACCAUAGCAUGAAACAUGUGGAUCCAAAUCAGCCGCUUAUGAAAUAACGCAUAAACCAGGGUUUAAACUUCUUUCACUCUAGCAACCCAUCAUCUACUUAUUGAUCCAUAUUGCCUUCCCUUAGACCCAAGUAUGGUGAAGUGUCAUGUAGUCGACAUUCACAUGAUACCACUAAAGGAAGAAACAACAUACACAUCAUCAAAAUAUCAAACGAAUACCAACUUCACAUGAUUACUUAUAAAAAGACUUUCACAUAUCCCCGAGAACAAAAACAACUACUCACAAAUCAUCAUCAUGUUCAUUAUCAUAGGUAUACCCACUACAAGAAAUAUGUCAACUUGUGACCUUCUCGUAGUGACCCUGGAAGAAAUGGUUGUAAAUAUACGACCAUUUGAAACCAAUUGUUCAUAAGCUGUUCGACGGGCUCCAAACGCUAAACCAUAACGACCAUUUUGGUCAGAAAGGUUGUAAUUUCCUUACACAAAAUGGUCGUAAAGCAGACAACACUAGUCUGUUGCCUUAUUUCUAGCUGAUCAAGACCAAUAUAUAUGGUCAUAGCCUUGUAAGUUGUGGUGCAUUGCUAUGACUAGGCGCCACCUCAUCAGUUUUGCUUAUGUGUCAUGUUCAUGUCUCAAUUUUUGCCCUAGGUUGUGAAGGAGCCUACAUUUCUGUCAUUCCCAAAAUUCCCAAAAAAUUCUCAUAAAUUGUUUGGAUCAUAUCUUCCUCAAAUAUGUCAAAACAUUUCCUUGCCUAGUUCAAAAAUAAUUCAAAAAUAUUCAUUUUCCUAUUUUGUUCAGAACAACACUUUAUGAAGGAACUGUUAUUUAUAUUUUUUGAAUUCCACUCAAUUUUUUUGGGCACUCUUUUAUAUCCAAAUCAUUGCAUCAUGACAAUAUUCAGCUCCAUUUGCCUAUUAAAUCUUCCUGAGCAAAUUUCCUAAGUUUUUGUUUGGCUAGAAUCUUUGUGAAGUAAGUACCAACUAGGCAUAUCCUAAUGAGGUGAAUUUUUUCUACAUAUUCUAUAUGCCCAAAUCAUAGUUCUCCAAAAUAAUUAUACCCAUCUAAUAAUCCAUGUGAGCUCAGCAUCCAAUCUUUGUUUUUGUUAAUAUUUUCAAUUUGUGAAGAAACUAUAUUUCAUAUUGCUUUAUAAUUGCUGGAAAUUUACGAGGACAUGACCCUACCCAUAGGAACUCCAUACACCAAAUUUUAUCUGAUUUUAAUUUAGCCAAUUUUCCUCAAUAUAUUUCCCAAUUUUCUAUUUAGUGGAUAUCGUUAUGAAGGAAAUACCAUUUUUAUUUAUCUAAAUGGUAUGAAAUUUAUGUAGUUCUUUUAUAUGUCGGGAUAAUCAUCCUCCUCCAAAUUGCAGCUCAAUCCAAUCAUCUAUGUGGGCCGAGCAUCAAUUUCUAUUCUCUGUCCAAGGAAGAGCAUUGUAAGGAUGUACCACUUUGGCAUGUCCAAAUGGUAUCAAAUUUGUAGAGUGCCUUACUAUGACCAAAUUACAAUCCUCCACAAAAUUGCAGCUCAAUCCAUUCAGUCAUUUGAGACCAACUUCAACAUUCAUAUUUCUCUCCAGCGUGGUAUGUUGCAAAGCAAGUGCCACCUAGGCUCCUCCAUUUGAGCUAAAAAAUCCCAACACGGUCUCCUUAGUAGAUGAACAUCCUCAGCCAAAACUCAUGCCCAUUGGCCAUAUUCAUUUCCCCCACCGCUAAUCAAACUGAAAAGGAUCGAUAUGGUUGACUAGAGGGGGGGGGGGGGGAAUAGGCAACUAGAUCGAUAUGGUUGACGAGAGGGGGGGGGGGGUGAAUAGGCAACUACCAAUUUUUAACUUUUCUUAAUAAGUUAAGGUUAGCAACAAAAGGUUCUCUAGAUGAACAACUAGGUGAGCAACCUAAAUGAUGCUAACGGCCACAACAACAAGAUCUAGCAAAGAAUACACCACAACAAAAGUAAAUACAAAGUAAAGGUAAGAGAUAACCGCAAGUGGAACCGGUGGAGACGAGGAUAUGUUACCGAACUUCCUUCCCUUUGACAGGAAGUACAUCUCCGUUGGAGCGGUGUGGAGGCACAAUGCUCCCCAAGAAGCCACUAGGGCCAUCGUAUUCUCCUCACGCCCUCACACGAUGCGAGAUGUCGUGAUUCCACUAUUGGUGCCCUUGAAGGUGGCGACUGGACCUUUACAAACAAGGUUGGGGUUAUCUCCACACAAUGCUCAGGGGCUCCCAACAAGAUCGCGAAGCUUCACCACAAUGGAUAUGGCUCCGAGGUGACCUCAACUGUCUAGGGUGCUCAAACAACCAAGAGUAACAAGAUCCGCAAGGGAUUGGUAGGGGGAAGCAAAUAUCUCUUGGUGGAAGUGUAGAUGAGGGCCUUCUCAACUAAUCCCUAGAAAAUCAACAAGUUUGAUUUUAUAGGGAGAGAGAUCGGGCAAGAAUGAGCUUUAGAGCAACAAUGGAGCUUGGGGAGGUAAGAGGUGCCUAUUCUGAGGAAGAAGACACCCUUAUAUAGUGGGGGGCAAAUCCAACCGUUACCCCCACUCACAACCUUUUGGAGAGCGGUACUACCGCUGCAAGGAGUGGUACCACCGCUUGGCAGGCUCACCUACCACGGUAGUAAAAAAUUACUACCGUGGCUACCACUGCUUGGGGAAAAGAUGUGCAAAAAAGUCCGACGAAGCGGUAGUAAAAAAUUACUACUGCACCUGGAGCGGUACUACAACCCUGAGCGCGGUAGUAAGAAAUUACUACCGCGUCGAGAGCGGUACUACCGCUAGAACUUUUGCACCGACUUGAAAUGGCAGGGUUGGAGCUCCAUUGGCAAGGGAAAGGUCGUGCAAAGAAAUGUGUACGUGUUGAUUCCACCCAAACCUUUCAGAUGCGGACCCCCUCUUAAUAAUACGGCUUUCCUACAACACAAAUCCACCACAGAAAAUCGUAGAAGACCAUCGUUCUUGAAAUACACCGAGGGGCACCGAAUCGUCUUGUGCCUAAUCAUAUAUUAUCUGAAAUGCUCAAUGCACACGAUUAGUCCACAGAGGUACCGUCAUCAAUUACCAAAACCACUUAGGGAGAAAUAUGCCCUAACAAUCUCCCCCUUUUUGGUGAAUUGAUGACAAUACAGGAUUUGCACAAAACUAUAUAUGAAAAGCAUAUGCAAACCCAAGAUCUAUAAACUAGAGACAGGCUCCCCCUGGAUGUGUGCAUAUAUUUAAAGUAAUGCCUUGGACAGCAAAACACACAUCCUAGGAGAGGCACUCCCCCUAGAGGUUAUAGGUGAGGCACUCCUUGCAUCAACAUGAUAAGAAAAUUAAAUGUGGAAGCAAGGCAUAGCAUGUGAUUAUGAAGAUAAGGGCACAAGAUAAAUAGACUCACAAGCUACUACCAGGCUAAAUAAUAGAGAGACAAUAAAGAUAAUAGUAGGGAUAGCAUAUGUCUCACACCAUGUGAUCACGAAUGAAACCAGGUCCCACACACAUAAAAAAACAUCCAACUGACAACGAAAGCUUAGCAACAAAACAAACACAAAAACAUAGGGAAAGCAAAUCCUACUCUCUCUCCCCCUUUGGCAUCAGGACACCAAAAAGGCAGAGAGGACACCUAAUGACACAGGUGGUAGCUCGGCAUGUAGAGAGAUCAGCCAUCUGACUCCUCAUCAGUCUCCUCAUUAGUCGCCUCAUCAGUCUCCUCAGCCGCCUCCUGGUUAGACUCAGCCCACUGCAGGUUCUUGUUCUGCAGCCAAUCAAACUAUGGAGUGACUACCUCCUCAGAUCCGCUGGAUAUGUGCACGUCAAGCUUCCUCAUGAUCAGUUUGUCACGCCUACGGCUCUCCUUCUGUGCGACAUGAGAGUUGUACUGCCCAUGAGCCUACAUGCAGAAUAAGUUCUUCAUCUCGUACUUCAGCUUCUUAGCCCCAGAUGGCUCAGCAGAGGACUGCUCACGUAUCGCUGGGAUGUCCUUAGCCUCAGCCUCAACCUCAUCAUCAUUGAUCUUCGUGUGUGCAGCAGUGCGGGUCGUGGAGGUGUUAGACCACUUGUUCUUCUGACGCAUCUUGAUAGGUUCAUGGCGAAGCCAGGCAGGUAAUUGAAAGGGAACAUUUGGAAAGGCAUGUGUUCACUUCUCCCUCAUAAAGUAGAACAUGUAAGGCCCAUAGAUGGGGACCUUACGGUUGAAUACUACCGAGUGAAUUUCUCUCCACAUAACAUGGGACACAUCAAGUGGCCCAGAGUCACGAGUCCAGCCUUUCUGACACAUGGUGAGCAUAUCAACCAAAUAAGAGUGUACUUGAUCCUUGUUACCAACCCGAGGAAAUAGUGUGUAGCGGAAUAUCCUGUGCGUGACAUCCAGAGAGUCACUAAGCACAAAGGAAGACUCACCGGUGGCAGACUUCUUCUUGACAUAAAUUUCAUCAACUGCUCCUUAGGGGUGGCAUCGGGCUUAGCAUGUGGGCGUAAACCCACUAGGUUGUCAAGCCCCUCAUCACGAAUAUUCAGAAGAUCCACGAAUUCCUUCCAGGAGCCAGAUAACUGUUCUCCAUUGGUCAUCCAGGUCAUAGUGCGCUCAUCAUCAGGAUGGAAGUGAACAGACACAAAGAACUGUGCCACAAUCUCUAGGUCGAAGUCAAGAUGAAAAGUGAUGAUGUCCUCAAUUCCCAUCUGCUUCACCAUGUCCAGAGCCUCGCCAAACUAGGGAAGGUCCUUCCUGAGAUGGUUUAGAUCAAUCCAUUAACAUGGGACAUAGGGGUUCUUCUUGGUCAAAAUGAUAUCUUGGUACAUGAGGACCUGCUGCUUAGACCAGAACUUCUCACACCCCUUGGCACAAACUCUUUCAUUUUCAUAUGGAUUUUUCUUCCUACGAGAAAUAAACUCCGAGAGUGGCAUGGUUUCAUAGCAGACGCUGGCUUCCUUGCUCUUGGAUGUAGUCCUCUUGAAACUGCACUUUGGAGGGUCAGAGCCUUCAGCAGCAUUAGGAUUGCGCGACCUCUUGGAUAUGUUGUCUUGUGGCGCCUUUGAUCGAUGGGAGCCACCACCUAUGACACGCAACGCAAACACAAA
rnacentral:lncRNA from 1 species